rnacentral:rRNA from 2 species
CCGAACCGACUAAUGUUGAAAAAUUAGCGGAUGACCUGUGGCUGGGGGUGAAAGGCCAAUCAAACCGGGAGAUAGCUGGUUCUCCCCGAAAGCUAUUUAGGUAGCGCCUCGUGAAUUCAUCUCCGGGGGUAGAGCACUGUUUCGGCUAGGGGGCCAUCCCGGCUUACCAACCCGAUGCAAACUGCGAAUACCGGAGAAUGUUAUCACGGGAGACACACGGCGGGUGCUAACGUCCGUCGUGAAGAGGGAAACAACCCAGACCGCCAGCUAAGGUCCCAAAGUCAUGGUUAAGUGGGAAACGAUGUGGGAAGGCCCAGACAGCCAGGAUGUUGGCUUAGAAGCAGCCAUCAUUUAAAGAAAGCGUAAUAGCUCACUGGUCGAGUCGGCCUGCGCGGAAGAUGUAACGGGGCUAAACCAUGCACCGAAGCUGCGGCAGCGACACUGUGUGUUGUUGGGUAGGGGAGCGUUCUGUAAGCCUGUGAAGGUGU